rnacentral:lncRNA from 1 species
GAAAUGGAAACAUAAGCUAGGGCUAAACUGUAAAAGAGAGAGGCCAUGAUACCUUUAGGGAACUGUUAAUGGAGGUGACCAACGAAUGGCAAUGACGAUUGACGACCCUGGAGUACCAAUUGGUGAAUAGGGAUGAGGGACCACCAGAUUGGACCUUAGAGUGGCUGAAUAGCAAUGGAGGUAGAGAGAACUUUAGAAUGCUAGAGAGAACGAGAGGAAUAGGAAACUAGGAAUUCUAUGAUUCUAUCGGACUCUUAAGUCCAUCCAAAAUCGAUUAAGCCCCAAAUACUUAAGUCUUUGACUAGCUAAGCUAUGAUCCUAAUCGAGCCUUAUAUCCGAUAUUUUCGAGCUAUUAAACAAGCCUGAAUAUAGGCUUGAGCUGGGGCUUGGCCAGUACCAGGCCAAAUGUAAACUUGUGCCUGACCUGAAAGACAAACACGCCCCUAUAAUUGAACCCAAAUCUAGUUUGAAUUGUGUCAAGCAUAGCUUGGAGUCGGACUAGCCUGAGCACAAUUCUAAUCUUGCUC